CGGGUGAGUAACACGUGGAUAACCUACCUAUAAGACUGGGAUAACUUCGGGAAACCGGAGCUAAUACCGGAUAAUAUAUUGAACCGCAUGGUUCAAUAGUGAAAGACGGUUUUGCUGUCACUUAUAGAUGGAUCCGCGCCGCAUUAGCUAGUUGGUAAGGUAACGGCUUACCAAGGCAACGAUGCGUAGCCGGCCUGAGAGGGUGAUCGGCCACACUGGAACUGAGACACGGUCCAG
rnacentral:rRNA from 1 species